rnacentral:rRNA from 1 species
ACUGCCGGUGACAAACCGGAGGAAGGUGGGGAUGACGUCAAAUCAUCAUGCCCCUUAUGAUUUGGGCUACACACGUGCUACAAUGGACAAUACAAAGGGCAGCGAAACCGCGAGGUCAAGCAAAUCCCAUAAAGUUGUUCUCAGUUCGGAUUGUAGUCUGCAACUCGACUACAUGAAGCUGGAAUCGCUAGUAAUCGUAGAUCAGCAUGCUACGGUGAAUACGUUCCCGGGUCUUGUACACACCGCCCGUCACACCACGAGAGUUUGUAACACCCGAAGCCGGUGGAGUAACCAUUUUGGAGCUAGCCGUCGAAGGUGGGACAAAUGAUUGGGGUGAAGUCGUAACAAGGUAGCCGUAUCGGAAGGUGCGGCUGGAUCACCUCCUUUCUAAGGA